CUUACCAGGUCCAGACAUGGGAAGGAUGGACAGAUUGAUAGCUCUUUCUUGAUUCCAUGAGUGGUGGUGCAUGGCCGUUCUUAGUUGGUGGAGUGAUUUGUCUGGUUGAUUCCGAUAACGAACGAGACCACGAGAGGGUGGUUGAGGUUAUUAUUGAGGGGUGAGAUAGGGGAAGGCUUAGGUGAGGUUGGCUUCGGUUAAUCCGCUUGAGUUGGAACCUUUGCUCCUUAUAAUACUUACCUACCCCGACCGAAGUGUUUCAACACUUAGGAAGGUCGUGGCAAUAACAGGUCUGUGAUGCCCUUAGAUGUUCUGGGCUGCACGCGCGUUACACUGACAGAGUGAAAAAGUUUUUUUGCUUGACUGAGAGGUCUGGCAAAUCUUUUAAACUUUGUCGUGAUGGGGAUAGAUGGUUGAAAUUAGGCAUCUUGAACGAGGAAUUCCUAGUAAACGUGGUUGAUCAAACGCGUUGAUUACGU
rnacentral:rRNA from 1 species